rnacentral:rRNA from 1 species
GUCUACGACCAUGCCACCUGGAACAACCCCGAUGUCUGAUCUCAGAAGCUAAGCAGAGUCGGGCCUGUUUAGUACUUGAUGGGAGACCACCUAGGAAGACCAGGUACUGUAGGCA